rnacentral:rRNA from 1 species
GACAUGGGAAGCUUGCUUCCUAUGAAAUCGAGUGGCAAACGGGUGAGUAACGCGUAAACAACCUGCCCUUCGGAUGGGGAUAACAGCCGGAAACGGCUGCUAAUACCGAAUACGAUCUUUUCGUCGCAUGACGGAAAGAAGAAAGGAUGGCCUCUAUACAAAGCUAUCGCCGAAGGAGGGGUUUGCGUCUGAUUAGCUGGUUGGAGGGGUAACGGCCCAACAAGGCGAUGAUCAGUAGCCGGUCUGAGAGGAUGAACGGCCACAUUGGGACUGAGACACGGCCCAGACUCCUACGGGAGGCAGCAGUGGGGAAUCUUCCGCAAUGGACGAAAGUCUGACGGAGCAACGCCGCGUGAGUGAAGAAGGUCUUCGGAUUGUAAAGCUCUGUUAUACGGGACGAAAAAGACGGAUGCCAACAGUAUCCGUCCGGUGACGGUACC